rnacentral:rRNA from 1 species
AUGAACGCUGGCGGCGUGCCUAAUACAUGCAAGUCGAGCGAACAGAUGAGGAGCUUGCUCCUCUGACGUUAGCGGCGGACGGGUGAGUAACACGUGGAUGACCUACCUAUAAGACUGGGAUAACUUCGGGAAACCGGAGCUAAUACCGGAUAAUAUAUUGAACCGCAUGGUUCAAUAGUGAAAGACGGUUUUGCUGUCACUUAUAGAUGGAUCCGCGCCGCAUUAGCUAGUUGGUAAGGUAACGGCUUACCAAGGCAACGAUGCGUAGCCGACCUGAGAGGGUGAUCGGCCACACUGGAACUGAGACACGGUCCAGACUCCUACGGGAGGCAGCAGUAGGGAAUCUUCCGCAAUGGGCGAAAGCCUGACGGAGCAACGCCGCGUGAGUGAUGAAGGUCUUCGGAUCGUAAAACUCUGUUAUUAGGGAAGAACAAAUGUGUAAGUAACUAUGCACGUCUUGACGGUACCUAAUCAGAAAGCCACGGCUAACUACGUG